UACGUAGGGGGCUAGCGUUGUCCGGAAUCAUUGGGCGUAAAGAGCGUGUAGGCGGUCCGGUAAGUCCGCUGUGAAAGUCGGGGGCUCAACCCUCGAAUGCCGGUGGAUACUGUCGGGCUAGAGUGCGGAAGAGGAGAAUGGAAUUCCCGGUGUAGCGGUGAAAUGCGCAGAUAUCGGGAAGAACACCCGUGGCGAAGGCGGUUCUCUGGGACGGUACUGACGCUGAGACGCGAAAGCGUGGGGAGCGAACAGG
rnacentral:rRNA from 1 species